rnacentral:piRNA from 1 species
UGAGAAUGUGCAAACUUGGUUAGACUGG